rnacentral:rRNA from 1 species
UACGUGAGGCAGCAAGCGUUGUUCGGAGUUACUGGGCGUAAAGGGUGCGUAGGCGGUUCUAUAAGUAUGGUGUGAAAUCUCCCGGCUUAACUGGGAGGGUGCGCCGUAGACUGUGGGACUAGAGUGUGGGAGAGGAAAGUGGAAUUCCUGGUGUAGCGGUGAAAUGCGUAGAUAUCAGGAGGAACACCGGUGGUGUAAACGGCUUUCUGGACCAUAAACUGACGCUGGAGGCAACGAAAGCGUGGGUAGCAAACAGG